rnacentral:rRNA from 1 species
ACUUCCCUGAAUAGCUCUGAUCUCAUCUGACUUUAGAAGUUAAAUAGGGUCAGGCCUGUUUAAUACUUGGAUGGGAGACCAUCUGGUGCUAUUAGGGA